rnacentral:rRNA from 1 species
UACGAAGGGGGCUAGCGUUGCUCGGAAUCACUGGGCGUAAAGCGCACGUAGGCGGAUUGCUAAGUCAGGGGUGAAAUCCUGGAGCUCAACUCCAGAACUGCCUUCGAUACUGUAGAGCUUGAGACCGGAAGAGGUAAGUGGAACUGCGAGUGUAGAGGUGAAAUUCGUAGAUAUUCGCAAGAACACCAGUGGCGAAGGCGGCUUACUGGUCCGGUUCUGACGCUGAGGCGCGAAAGCGUGGGGAGCAAACAGG